GGGACAGGGAACAGCUCACCUGUGUCAGAGAUUUCUCUCCAGGUGGAGAGAGACCCUCUUCUUCAUCAACUCUUCUUCAUCAACUCUUUGGACUGUUUGAAGAAACUCCCUUCCUGCCUGCUUCCUGACAGGUGGAGCUGGGACUCAUUCCAGGGAACAGCUCACCUGUGUCAGAGAUUUCUCUCCAGGUGGAGAGUGACCCUCUUCUUCAUCAACUCUUCUUCAUCAACUCUUCUUCAUCAACUCUUCUUCAUCAACUCUUCUUCAUCAACUCUAUGGACUGUUUGAAGAAACUCCCUUCCUGCCUGCUUCCUGACAGGUGGAGCUGGGACUCAUUCCAGGGAACAGCUCACCUGUGUCAGAGAUUUCUCUCCAGGUGGAGAGUUACCCUCUUCUUCAUCAACUCUUCUUCAUCAACUCUUCUUCAUCACCUCUUUGGACUGUGUGAAGAAACUGACCCAUCAGAGACCAGACCCUGCUGAAGCUGAACCUGAACCUGAACCCAGCUGUGUUUCCAUGAAGAGUGUCCGGUCCAUGGAGACACCACUACUUUAAAAAGAACGCGAUCUGUAAGGGAGAUUAAAAUGGAGAACAGUGUGAGGGAGCGAAUUGAAAUGGAGAGAGGAAGAUGGAGGACCAGACCAGAGUCUCCUGAAUCUGGAUAUGCAUCCAGCUGUGUGUCCUUUAAGAGCAACCGGUCAAUGGAGGAUUGGGUUGAUUUUAAACGUGUUUCUGAGAAA